UACGUAGGAUGCUAGCGUUGUCCGGAUUUACUGGGCGUAAAGCGCGCGCAGGCGGCACUGUAAGUAAGGUGUGAAAUAUCCCUGCUCAACGGGGAGGGUGCACUUUAGACUGCAGAGCUAGAGGACGGUAGAGGGGGGUGGAAUUGCUGGUGUAGCGGUGAAAUGCGUAGAUAUCUGGAGGAACACCGGUGGCGAAGGCGGCAUCCUGGACCGACACUGACGCUGAGGAGCGAAAGCCAGGGGAGCAAACGGG
rnacentral:rRNA from 1 species